AUUUAUAUAGUUUAACAAAAACAAUAUAUUUUCAUUAUAUAAUUGAAAUUUAUUUCUAUAAAUA
rnacentral:tRNA from 1 species